rnacentral:piRNA from 1 species
UACAUGACUAGAAAGUCUGUGCCAAAGUCUGU